GACGAACGCUGGCGGCGUGCUUAACACAUGCAAGUCGAACGAUGAAGCCGGAGCUUGCUCUGGUGGAUUAGUGGCGAACGGGUGAGUAACACGUGAGUAACCUGCCCUUGACUCUGGGAUAACUGCGGGAAACUGUAGCUAAUACCGGAUACGACCCUCGGAGGCAUCUCCUGGGGGUGGAAAGAAUUUCGGUCAAGGAUGGACUCGCGGCCUAUCAGCUAGUUGGUGAGGUAAAGGCUCACCAAGGCGACGACGGGUAGCCGGCCUGAGAGGGGGACCGGCCACACUGGGACUGGGACACGGCCCAGACUCCUGCGGGAGGCAGCAGUGGGGAAUAUUGCACAAUGGGCGCAAGCCUGAUGCAGCAACGCCGCGUGAGGGAUGACGGCCUUCGGGUUGUAAACCUCUUUUAGCAGGGAAGAAGCGAAAGUGACGGUACCUGCAGAAAAAGCACCGGCUAACUACGUGCCAGCCGCCGCCGUAA
rnacentral:rRNA from 1 species